rnacentral:rRNA from 1 species
CCUACGGGCGGCAGCAGUGGGGAAUAUUGGGCAAUGGGCGCAAGCCUGACCCAGCACCGCCGCGUGAAGGAAGAAGGCUUUCGGGUUGUAAACUUCUUUUGUCAGGGACGAAGCAAGUGACGGUACCUGACGAAUAAGCCACGGCUAACUACGUGCCAGCAGCCGCGGUAAUACGUAGGUGGCAAGCGUUAGCCGGAUUUAUUGGGUGUAAAGGGCGUGUAGGCGGGAAUGCAAGUCAGAAGUGAAAACUAUGGGCUCAACCCAUAGCCUGCAUUUGAAACUGUAUUUCUUGAGUGCUGGAGGGGCGAGCGGAAUUCCGUGUGUAGCGGUGAAAUGCGUAGAUAUACGGAGGAACACCAGUGGCGAAGGCGGAUUUCUGGACAGUAACUGACGCUGAGGCGCGAAAGCGUGGGGAGCAAACAGGAUUAGAUACCCUAGUAGUC